CACUCCUUCCCAUCCCGAACAGGACAGUGAAACGACUUCGCGCCGAUGAUAGUGCGGAUUCCCGUGUGAAAGUAGGUCAUCGUCAGGC
rnacentral:rRNA from 1 species